CAAAAAUGUUUGGUAGUGAUGGUGUUAAUAAAAUUCUGUAACUUUUUUAUUGAACAUUAACUAUAAUAUUUUUUUCUAUUUCCUCAAAAUAAUGGGAAAAUAAUCUAGAUAAAAAUUUAAAAAAAUGUCUUGUGAGGCGUGCACAGUGUUUGCAUAGUAGUGUAAUUGAUGUCCCAAUUCACUUAAUCAUUUCAGACAGGUAAAUAAUUUAAUUUUAGCAAUAAUAGGGACUAUUUGCUAUACUGUGAAUUAUAGGGAAUUUUUAAGGAUUUACAUAUUUAAGGUCAAAAUAACAGAAUUAAAAAAUAUGCAACUUCAGAGUUAGUCACAUGAAGGGUGCAUUGUCAUAACAUUAAAGUGACUUAAAACAACAUCCUAAGCACCAUAAGCACUACAGCAUUCUGUGGUGAUUAAGGUUCCAGGUGAGCCAUGGCACCGCUCACAUUGUAAGUAUUCAAACCGUUUUUGCAUGGUUUCAUUUUUUCCAUUGGGUCCACUGGGAGCUGCUCCUCACCUCCACUACUAAUGCCAGAGAGCUCUGAGCAGCAUCUUUCAUUAGCACUUCUUAGCUAAGCCAUGCAGAGCAGGUGCUCGCAGCCAAUGAUCUAACUCCUGGCUUAGCACAAGAGAACUCAAAGAGGUUUCUGCUUAGAAACUUCUGUCUCUCCAGCAUUAGUAGUCGAGGCAUGGAGCAGCACCUGGAGGAUUCCACGUAACAUGGCAAACUGUUCGAACCCUGCCUGACUGCUUCCAAUUGGGGGAGUGGGUGGUAGUGCCAGGAGUGUUCCUUUAAAAGUGAAUUCCAAUUUCAGGCUAAAGUAGCUGAAUUGGAAAAACUUCAACAUUGAAGUUGAAUACACUUUUGGAUAGUGAAAAGCCCUGUUAGCGAUUCCCACUUGAAAUUCCAUUAUCACCACAGUUUAUUGGAUAAACCAUGUUGAUAAGUGAAAAGCAGAAUUUAGUCCUUCAGGACCAGGGCUAGCCAAAUGACUCUCAUGACACAGAUAGGUUAUUGGAAUCACUGAAAUAGAGUUACAAUAGACAGUGGAAGUUUGUUGCUCGUAUAUUGGGCUACUGGAACAAUAAGGUUAUAGACAAUCAGAUCACGCUAUGCAUGUGGAGUGGCUGGACCACAUUUCUAUGUAAGGCUUCUUAUGUGUUAAUAUUUGCUAUGAUAUAUCCAAAUUAACCUCCACCACUGGGAUAGUUGCUUAGUUCCUGAUUAAAUGUAACUGAUUGAAGCGGCACUGUCACUUUGCAGUUUUUUGCUUUUUUUUUUUUUUUUCCAAAUAAUCUUUGUUUUGUCCUUCUAUUUCUAUUGUUAUCAUUUUUUUUAAAAUUGACCUUUAAAAAUUGUUGGAAUUUUUUGUCAAUGGGUGGAGCUCCACCCAGGUUCUUUUUCAGCUGCAAAGUUAAUUUACUCACAAUCCAUCAGUCUAAAUAAUCCCACAGAAGUGCAAACUGCGAACAUCAUGGUAGGAGGAAAACAAAAUGGCUGGUGGCCUGAUAAGGUAAAAGAGAUUAUACAUUUAAAUAAAGGCAAGUGGCAAAGGAGGGAUUAUGAUCAUUAAGAAGCAAGACAUGUAAGCAAAGGUAAAUCGAAAGAAAAUUAACAAAUAAAGAAGUAAAUAAAUAAAUAAAAAUGACUGUGCUGUGUUAAGAAUAUAGAUAAUUUUAGUCAAUAGUAAUAAUGAGGUAAAGUGCUAUAUGGUGAAACAACAGGAGGUUUACAUAACAAUUGCCCUACUUUUGAAGCACCACCCAUGAAUGACUCAAUCAUACGCAGUCAAUGUAAAUAAUAAAAAAAAAUCUCAACAUAUUUUGAAAACAAGUUAAUGUUCAGUUAAAUAUAUAUUGCUUCACUCAGUGAAAAUAUAUAUAAACAUAAAAAUGUGUAAUGUUUUCAAUGCAUGUUUUUAUACAAGUAGAAAAGCGACACUAAGUUAAGUAAGGAUACAUAGUUGUGCACUUAAAGCACCAUUCACAUUAAUGAGCAACUGGGAACGAACCAUACUUUGACAGACGUGUUUAGACUUUAUUUUCCUCUACAUACACAAAUUUCUUUCCUCACUUUUAAUUUUUUUUCCCCUAAUACUUAUUCCCCUUUAGGAAUGAAACACACUUAGUUUUUGCUUUUGAAUAGUUUUUAGACCACCAUUCUUAUAGAAUGUCAGACUUAGCUACCGGUACUUAUAACCACUACAUUUGGUAUAAGUAAGACUACAACAUAUGUUUGAGCAAUCUUUUGGUUUAUUUGUUUUUCUAUUGUUUUUUUCUUGGUGUUGUUUGAACUAGUCGCUUUAUCCAUACCUGGUACAAAGUUCAUAAUCCUGUAGCUCCCAUCAAUUAUUUAAACAGACUCUAAUUUCUUUAAUCCGGCUGCUGACUAGUGAUUGGGUGGUAGCACAUAUGCAUUGCAGUGCAAUGUUAAACAAUCUGUCCUGAAUUGAUUAUGCUAAGUUUGUGCAAUUUUAAACAUUGAGUUUAAAAAAUAAAAAAAUAAAAAUGGUUUAUACUGUAUGUUUAUUAUGAUGUUUUAUGUAUUCCAAUCCCAAAUCUAUUUUUAUUCCAUAAAUAUUAGAAGGACAAAAUAUAUCAACAUCAUAAGAUUUUUUUUCUUUUUUUGAC